rnacentral:rRNA from 1 species
CCAAUAGCGUAUAUUAAAGGUGUUGCAGGGAAACAGGACUGUUACUUUGAAUAAAUUAGAGUGUUUAAAGCAGGCUAACGCUUGAAUACAUUAGCAUGGAAUAAUGAAAUAGGACGUGGAUCCUAUUUUGUUGGUUUCUAGGAUUAACGUAAUGAUUAAUAGGGAUAGUUGGGGGCAUUAGUAUUCAAUUGUCAGAGGUGAAAUUCUUGGAUUUAUUGAAGACUAACUACUGCGAAAGCAUUUGCCAAGGAUGUUUUCAUUAAUCAAGAACGAAAGUUAGGGGAUCGAAGACGAUCAGAUACCGUCGUAGUCUUAACCAUAAACUAUGCCGACUAGGGAUCGGAUGAUGUUAAUUUUUUAAUGACUCAUUCGGCGCCUUACG